AUGAGACCAAACAGCAGAUGCCAAAUCUGAACAAGAUUCAGACAGUAAAGAAGGCUCUUUCCAGGGAGGAGGUAGAAAAGGUUGCUCAGGAGUCUACAGAUAAGGUAGAGAGUAACAAUGAAGGGCCAGAAGGGGACACUAAAGUCCCAGAAGAAGGGGCAAAGGAGUUGGCGGACCAGGAGUCCAGCUAAAAUCGUCAUACGAAUAGCAUCAUUGUUAUUUUCAUUUGCAAGACCUGAUGCUUUUUAAAGAGAAAUUUUUUCGACAUACUUGAACAAGGGAUGAAG